rnacentral:misc_RNA from 1 species
AAGUCGUAACAAGGUUUCCGUAGGUGAACCUGCGGAAGGAUCAUUAACACGUAUCCACGUUAAACUCAAACCACCACGAACUGUGCUCCCUAGCCUUCCAACUUCACUGUCGAUCUUUAUGCGAGAUCCUAUAUGGGCGACUGAACGCGGCUGUCUCUUCGGAGGCCCCCUCCUCAGCGUGAUCUGAGAUUUAGACUAUUCACUCCUCGAGAGUGAGACAGUGAGACCGGGAGACUAGGCUUUUCUAUUCCCCAUCUCUUGCAUUUCUCACCAUAUUUGGAAUGUGAGGCGAUACCAACCUAAUUUCACCCUAUUUUACCUAUUUGACUAAUUUACGAGUUUCACAUGUCGGGGAGAAAUCCUUGAUCUCUGUGGAAUGACCUAAGAUUUAUCUUAACUAAGCACAACUCUUAGCAAUGGAUAUCUUGGUUCUC